GCGCAGCGGCGGCGGAUGGCGUCCGUGCCAGCGGCGCGGACGGCGGUGGCGACGGACGCCACCGCUGCGCAUGCUCUAACGCCAACCAUGGAGACUUUCCAUCUUUCAAAUCAUCUUCCACCUUCCAUCUUACAUAUUCAAUUCUACAAUCAAAACAAAUUAAAUACAUCAACAUUCUUCAUUUGUCUCCUUCCCUAACACCUCACAACAUACACUUUUCCAAGCAAAAACAAAUAGUGAGAAAGAGACGAGAGAGAGUCAGAAGUAGGAGCCACUGCCUUUUGUUCAAUCACAAGAAAUCGAAUCUGCCAAGCCAAGGAGAUUAAUUCCUUCUCGGCUCCACAGCGUUGCAUCACAAUUUCAAUCGGUUGAGGUAUAAAUCCUUUCCCAAUUUCAAGUUUCAAUCAUCAGUUUAUGCAUUAGCAUCCCGCCAUCCGAACCAAUCGCAUAACUCAAGCAAUUAAUACAAUUGAACACUCCCACGGUUAAAUUGAUAUGCGAAAGAACUUAGUAAAGGAAACUUAUCUUCCGGGGCUGUUCCGGGGCUGCUGGGACAGCCGGGAUGGUUUCGAGGCUGUUCCGUUUGAAAUCGAGGGGCCGUGGUGUCGUUUCGGAGCUGUCCGAACAGCAGGCGGACAAUGGCAGUGGCGGGCUGCGAACGGCGACAGCCUUGUGCGACCUUCGACGGUACAGCAGCGUGCGACGGAGGGGCGUGCAGAGGCGGCGCAUCAGAACAGCGGUGGAGUCCGCCGGCGAACUGCUGCGAUUCCGCACCAGUGACCUGCGUCGAGCACGACGGCAGCAGCAGCGACGGAAGGCAACGGGAUUUGGGUAAGAAAAGAGAGAGAAAGAAAAGAGAGAGAGAAGAAGAGAGGAAUGGGGAGAGAAGAAGAGAUAGGCGUGUAGAUGGAGAGUGAAUUUUGGGCCUCUUCUUUUGGUUUUCUUUAUUGGGCCUAUUGAAAAAAAAGAGGAUAGUGAUAAUUAAUUGGGCCUCACAAUUUUGAUUGGGAGAAAUACGAUGGGCUGAGAUUUUAAUUUA